AGUGCUUAUUUUGGCAGCUUGUACAUUAAAAUUGUAAUGAUACAGAGACUGUAAGCAUUGCCCCUGUACAAGGAUGACAUGUAGUAAUAAUAAUAAUAAUAAAUAAUAAUAAUAA
ensembl:snRNA U6 spliceosomal RNA